GUGUGUGAGCCAUUAUCCUAACUGAACAGUAAAGGGAAUGGGAACACACACCAGUUACUGCAUAGCUUGUUUGUUCCCAGUUAUACUGUUGGUAACUGAAGGCACCAGAAUUCCUCCUAGGCCAUCUGUGCUAGAGCCAGGGCUUUUACCCAGAGUUCCACCUCCUCUCAAAUGCAAACUGAAAAGAAAUUUGGUACUUACAGAAGUGUGUCAAACACUUCUACUUUAACCAAUAACAGAAACCAGGAUCUGAAAGGAGCCACAGAAGUUCACCUGGUUUGGCCCCUUGGCCACAAUCCAGAGACGGUGUCACCACCAGUAGACGAAAUGGCCAAGGUUCUUAGGAAAAACAAAACAAAACCUGACCAAGUUUAUUCAACCAAUAAAUGGUGGCUAAAUCAACAAGCAUGUAUUAAGUGUGUGUUCAUUUUACUGAGUCUUGUGGAUCAUAAAUCAGAGGAAUUUCCAGGAGCUUUGUGGGGCCUCCUCACUGGGGUCUGUUUGGACCACCCCAAGGCUGGGAUCGCCAUUCUGUGGGAGCCUGGCUCUUACCCACAGGACUCCCAGGGCCUGGCACAUAGUUUCUUUGCUGGUGGUUGUGCUGGCCUGGGCCCAUGGGUAGCUGGGAGGCCUCUCUGUACACAUACCCACCCCUUUCCAUGGCUCCUUGCAGCUGAGAACAGGGCUGCUGCCAACAUCUAAUGGAAUACCCACCCCCAGAAAGCAGGACUGUAGGCAGUGGCCCUUGUGGGCAUGGCUGGGUUAUAGGACAUCUACAAAGAGGAGCCAGGACAGACAUGACCUUGGAACCAAAGAACCAUCUCUUGGUGGGAGACCAUCUCUUGCUGCUGUUUGGCAUGAAGUGAAAGGUCUGAUGAGGACACCAAUGUGUACUUGAAGUGACUUACUGGAGAAACAAACCUCUGCUCCCUGGAACCAGACUGGCAUCCCUCCUAAAAUGUCUAACGGCACAUGUGGUCUCAACUAGCAGUGCUGGGAAAGAGUUAACCUGUAUUAGCUUUACGUGACUGUGACCAAAAACCCAAGAAGAUCAACUUAGAAGAGGAAAAGUUUGUAUUGGCUCAUGGUUUCAGAGGUUCAGUCCAUGCUGUUCUUGCACAUGUGGUAUUUUCCUUCACAGAAGCUUCUCCUGACACAGAGAUUUGCAAAUGCAGACUUUGGAAUCAUGUGCCAGACUUGAACAGAAACAUCGUAGCACAGGAGCAAACAUUGCUGAGAUGGUUUGGGGAGAGGUUCCUAUUCUGAGGAUGGGUUGGGCACUUUGGGAGGGCUUGAAGGACAGGACAGGGUGGUGCAGAAACACAAUGAAAAACAAAACAAAGCAAAACUGUGCAACAUAGCAUUUCAUAUCAUGAGCUGCAACUUCAUAAGUUUUCCGACCAGAGACCAGGAGUAGAAGUCAGCCCUCCCCUGUGAAGCAGAAGCCCCCAUUUGAAGGGAGCAAGAGGCAGUCCCAAGCAGAAGGCCACAAAGGGUUGGUAUCUGAAGAAAAGGACCUGCCCCUUUCUGUGACAAGGAUCCUCUGGAAAGGCAUUUGUGAUAAACACGGCUGUGUUUCUGCAAUCUGGCUUUUAUCCCUUCAAAGGUUCCUGAGCUAGAGGCAAUUAACAGAGCUGGGGAAGCCAAGAAAGUGCACUGUGAAUAUAAACAGGUUGACAGGACAUUUAUACAGCAGCAUUGAGCAGAGUCCCUGAUCCCCAGGGUGGCGCAGGUCACUGGGAGAGUUUGAGACUGAGAGAUGCCUUCUUUUGUCUUACCACUGGGAUGAGUUUCCUCCACCAGGCAUGAAGGAUCCUGGCUGGGUUCCAGGAAAGACUGGAGGACUGGCUGGGAUUGCAGAGUAGUGAUGGACAAAGGAACCUCCACAUUGCUCCCACCCAGGACCACCAAAGCUCCAUUACAGGGAGCAGAAGUCACUGUCUCACUUUUCCCCCUCAACUUUACUAAGAUGCAAUGGACCAUCUCCAGCCCCUGAUAACCACCAUGUCUUCUUCCACGAGUUUGACUAUUUUAGAUCCCACAUGUGCGAGAGAUCAUACAGAGUCUGUUUUUCUGCAUCUGGCUUCAUUCACUUAACAUAAUGUCCUCCAUGUUUGUCAUGUUGUCACAAAUAGCAAG